rnacentral:lncRNA from 1 species
GGGACCAAAAAAAUAUGCAGUCAAACUCAGUAGCCUCGUUGCGAAUAGCCAAUGACACUACAGGUCAAAAGAUCACUCACACUACUGCAACAUUAAGAAUACCAUUGACGAGUGAGUAGACAUCCAUAUGAUUCUCGUGUUGGUCACGUUCAGUACAAGUUUUCUCUAACAACCAUCUGUACUUUCAUCCAAUAUCCCUAUGCUGUAGAUCCAAGACUCAUCUGCCCAUAAGGGAGGUAAACUGUGCACCGAUCUCGAAUGGAUUGAUCACUGUCUUCUGUGACAAUCCUUUAAUCGAGAGUAUUUAGAAAUUAAUCACUAAUUAAUAUAUAUCUUAAAUUCUUAAUACUUUAAGAAUAUACAAAAAUCAUCUUUGUUAAUUUCUAAGAUAAAUCAUGGACACAUAAACAUGAUUAGAAUGAAUAAGCUCUUUAUUAAUGAUAAAAAGUUACAAGUACAAGUUUAAGCCUUGGAAAUAUAAGAUGUGUCAGCCAAUAAUUGAUUUCUAAGGUACAAAUCAAACACGUCACUGGUGGAUCAUAAGACUAACAAGAAUUAUUUUGAUGAUCAAUAAUUUUUGAUUGGUGAGUUGGAAUUAUUCCAAUCCAUUAAAAAAAAUUUCAAUGAUAUUUUGAUGGAGAUCAAAAUAUUUUUCACUACCAGAUAGAAUAGAACCU